UGCAGUCGAACGCAAUCUUUGACUAAUGAGUGCUUGCACUCAGCGGUCAAAGUGCGAGUGGCGAACGGGUGAGUAACACGUGGGCAAUCUGCCCGAAAGUGGGGGAUAACACUUGGAAACAGGUGCUAAUACCGCAUCAACCGGCUGACCGCAUGGUCGGCCGGGCAAAGACGGCGUCAGCUGUCGCUUUUGGAUGAGCCCGCGGCGUAUUAACUAGUUGGUAAGGUAACGGCUUACCAAGGUGAUGAUACGUAGCCGAACUGAGAGGUUGAUCGGCCACAUUGGGACUGAGACACGGCCCAAACUCCUACGGGAGGCAGCAGUAGGGAAUCUUCCACAAUGGACGCAAGUCUGAUGGAGCAACGCCGCGUGUAUGAAGAAGGUCUUCGGAUCGUAAAAUACUGUUGUCAGAGAAGAACACGUGAUAAAGUAACUGUUAUCGCGCUGACGGUAUCUGACCAGCAAGUCACGGCUAACUACGUGCCAGCAGCCGCGGUAAUACGUAGGUGGCAAGCGUUGUCCGGAUUUAUUGGGCGUAAAGGGAACGCAGGCGGUCUUUUAAGUCUGAUGUGAAAGCCUUCGGCUUAACCGGAGAAGUGCAUUGGAAACUGGAAGACUUGAGUGCAGAAGAGGAGAGUGGAACUCCAUGUGUAGCGGUGAAAUGCGUAGAUAUAUGGAAGAACACCAGUGGCGAAAGCGGCUCUCUGGUCUGUAACUGACGCUGAGGUUCGAAAGCGUGGGGAGCGA
rnacentral:rRNA from 2 species